rnacentral:rRNA from 1 species
CCUGCGCAAGGAUCAUCG